UACGAAGGUGGCGAGCGUUGUGCGGAAACACUGGGCUUAAAGAGCACGUAGGCGGCCCAUCAAGCGCCUUGUGAAAUCCAAGGGCUCAAACGUUGAAUUGCUUGGCAUACUGUCCGGGCUUGAGGCAGGUAGGGGCACGUGGAACUCUUGGUGGAGCGGUGGAAUGCGUAGAUAUCAGGAGGAACACCGGCGGCGAAAGCGGCGUGCUGGGCCUGUCCUGACGCUGAGGUGCGAAAGCCAGGGGAGCAAACGGG
rnacentral:rRNA from 1 species